GGGAAACAGGGUCUAUUGUGAACAACCGUACUGCUCGUUGCACCUGCACCUUCACGUCUCGGAGAACCCUUACGCCUCGGGAAACAUUGUCAGCAAAGACACUGCUCCGGGAAUUAUAAUAGCAUCAGGUGUGGUUGGGCCUGAGCUGACAAAUGCAAAUGUCAGCAUCUUCGUCACGUCUGAUGCUGGAAACACAUGGAGAG